rnacentral:lncRNA from 1 species
GAAGUGGAAAUAGCGAAAGGUUAGUAAAGCAGAAUGAUGCUAUCUAAUUAAGAUCAAUUGAUCAAUUGCCUAGUUAAAGAGACAAAUGUGACACAUCAAUAUACUUUAUUUACAUUUAAGAAUUAUUCUAUCUUCAGGAAGAUUGUCUUGCAACUACAUAAGUAGUAAAAACUACAUAGUUUUUACUUUAUAAAGUGAUUCAACAACUUUCUUGUUGCAUGUAAAGGUUGAAAAAUAUAGAUGGCUAAAUUUCUCAAAUUUAUCUAUGCUAUGAUACUUUUUCUUUCCUUGUUUCUUACUUUAUUCCAGAUUGUUGGUAAGCCUUUUAUAUUAUUUUCAUUUUUUUUCUUUAUUUUAUACAUAAUUGUUCAUACAUUUUCAGUAACUUUUCUUUACUCUUAUUUUACAUAACAGCAGGUGACUGUGUUUCUGAUUGUGAAGCCAUGUAUAGGUGUGAGUCUCCUAAUAGAACUAUGAAGUGUUUUAUGUAUGUAUGCGUGUGCUGGUGGUAACACAGUUAAGUAAAGAAUAACUAUUCUUGAGUUAGUUUGAUACCAUAACCAUUUGAAGUAGCGUGUAUUGAACAUUUAAUUAUCAUCCAUCAAUCAUGUGAUACUAACCAUCACUUAUUUUUAUAUGCAGAUUAUACUCUAUGGUUAUGAGAAGCAAUUAGUAGAGUUUCACUAGUGAAAGCUGAGUAGAGGAUUGUGCCUAGCUAUGUUUUUUUGUUGAGAUUUUUAGUGUAUAAUGACAAAUGUAUUAUGUAACUUAACCUUCAACUAAAUCACACAAACAAUGUUGAUGUGUUGGAAUUAAGGUAAAAUAAAUAAGUUGUAUCGACACUCUCAAUGAUGAAAUAUCAAACGUAUAUGGAAGAAAAUUUAUGAAAAAGAAAAA